CAAGGUCUAGCGCAAAUCGUGGCAGUGGCAACUCGCUGAGGCACUUCCUGUUGCAGGCUGCGGUGCCGCGGUGAUUCGUGGCAACUGCCUCGACUCUGUGGCAACUGCCGCGGCGAGUUGUGGCAACUGCCUCGACUCUGUGGCAACUGCCUCGUGUGUUUACUCGGUCAAGAGAGGUAGCUCGAGCGGUGCCAUGAGUUCGGGUACCGGUCCUUCGGUCGGGGGAGCUAAAUGGACCGGUGCUUCGAGUUAAAGGAGCUUUACCACGAUGUAUGGGCUUGAUUCCUCGGCUGGUAGCGGUACCGGGACUUUAAGGGAGAGGUGCCACGACCGCUAAGGGAGCCUUAGCUCUCGGCUGGUCGAGGUACAUGGAGUUCAAUGGAGAGGUGCCACGACCGCUAAGGGAGCCUUAGCUCUCGGCUGGUCGAGGUACAUGGAGUUCAAUGGAGAGGUGCCACGACCGCUAAGGGAGCCUUAGCCCCGGUCGAGGCAGGCAGCUCGAGCGGUGCCACGGCUGUAAAGGUAACGGUGCUACGGAGGGUGAGGGUGCUGCGAUUGUUUGGGAGAAGUGCAGUUUCCGUUACUUUUAGUAUUUCAACAAUAUAUGACCGUAUAAUACAUUUUAAGUGAGUUGCCGCGUCGAGUCGUGGCAGCUGCCACAACUUCACGACAGCUGCGUCGACUUUGCGGUAAUGGUGGCUUGACUGUUCCCGUUUUCUUUUCAUAUAUUGACAAUACUAUGCGGUCAUUGAGAGUAUUAGUAUUGUUAGUUGUAAUUGGUUUAGUCAUAAAACGCCGAUAAGUGAUACAAUGGCUUCCCGUUUAAGUCCAGCUAAGAUAAUAUGGACUAAGACCAGUUUGCCCUUGUUGCCUUGGUAACAAAAACCACUUUCCGGCAGCUCCCCGAAGGAAUGCAAAUUGUAAAUAUUGGUAAGAUGCAUUGUAACGUUUAAAAUAUCAUAAGAUCAAGAUCCCAUAAAACCUAAUGGGUUUUAUAUGUGUGUGUGUGUAUAUUUGUAUAUACUUGCUGCAGCAGCUGGUAUAGCUUGCAAAGAAGUAAUCUCGACAUGCAGCUGUACAAUAACAAGUAACGUCUUAGAGAGUCGCUUUUGUUUUUGUUUGUCGCUUGUAUAAACAAAUAUAAGAAGGAUGACUACUUCUAAGUCAGUGUGUUUAUAUGUAUAUAUAAUGUGUUACACAUUUUUUCCACAUCAUUCAAGUUAUUUAGCCACAAGAGUAUAUAGUAUAUCUUUAGUUUGUUGUUGUUUACUAUGUUUUUGAGCACUUUUUAAUAUCACUCUAUACUUUUUGUAAACAGUAACCGUACUUAACUUUAUUAAUUUAUUGUGAGAAGUAAUUUGUUCGCCUGGCUGUUUUUCAGACACUAGUCUGCUGGUGUAGUUGCUUUGUGUGACACAUAUAGCACUGCCUGCUUAUGUUGCCUAAAUGUUGUGAAUAUAACCCUUAUAUCAGGGAUGGGCAACUUAAAUGAUUGAGGGGGAAGCGCACUUCCUAGCAAGAUUUAUGACAAAAAUGGCCCGGGGCAGCCAGUUGCCCAUCCCUCCUUUUAUAUCAUCAUGUGAAUUCACACAGGUUUUUUUGUUGUUAUAUAGCUUGAAGAAAUGUAUGUUAUGUGUAAAAUUGUAUAUCAUUGUCUAAUUUACUUUUAAACCUCCAAACAAAUCC